rnacentral:rRNA from 1 species
ACGGCUCAGUAACACGUAGGUAACCUACCCUUCGGACGGGCACAACCCCGGGAAACUGGGGCUAAUUCCCGAUAGGUACCCCCUUCUGGAAUGUGGGGAUAUCCAAAGCUCCGGCGCCGAAGGAUGGGCCUGCGGCCGAUUAGGUUGUUGGCGGGGUAACAGCCCACCAAGCCGACGAUCGGUACGGGCAGUGAGAGCUGUAGCCCGGAGAUGGGGACUGAGACAAGGCCCCAGGCCCUACGGGGCGCAGCAGGCGCGAAGCCUUCACAAUGCACGAAAGUGUGAUGAGGGUACUCCGAGUGCGCAUACAUUGUAUGUGCUUUUCUGCAGCGUAAAUAGUUGCAGGAAUAAGGGCUGGGCAAGACCGGUGCCAGCCGCCGCGGUAACACCGGCAGCCCUAGUGGUGGCCGCUUUUAUUGGGCCUAAAGCGUCCGUAGCCGGACAGGCGAGUCUUUGGGUAAAUCCUACGUCUUAAGCGUGGGAAUUCUAAAGAUACUACCUGUCUUGAGGCCGGGAGAGGCUGGAGGUACUCCUGGGGUAGGGGUAAAAUCCUAUAAUCCUGGGGGGACCACCGAUGGCGAAGGCAUCCAGCUGGAACGGGCCUGACGGUGAGGGACGAAACCCAGGGGAGCGAGCCGGAUUAGAUACCCGGGUAGUCCUGGGCGUAAAUGAUGUGGGCUUGGUGUGAGCGCAUCGACGAGGUGCGCUUGUGCCGUAGGGAAGCCGUUAAGCCCACCGCCUGGGGAGUACGGUCGCAAGGCUGAAACUUAAAGGAAUUGGCGGGGGAGCAC